rnacentral:rRNA from 1 species
AACGAUGAAUACUCGCAGUGUGCGAUAUAAUGUAUGCUGCCAAGUGAAAACGUUAAGUAUUCCACCUGGGGAGUACGCCGGCAACGGUGAAACUCAAAGGAAUUGACGGGGGCCCGCACAAGCGGAGGAACAUGUGGUUUAAUUCGAUGAUACGCGAGGAACCUUACCCGGGCUUGAACUAAGCAGGAAGAUGGGCAGAGACGCCCGUUGUCUUCGGACCUGCUUGGAGGUGCUGCAUGGCUGUCGUCAG